rnacentral:ncRNA from 2 species
AACGCACAUUGCGCUUCCUGGUAUUCCGGGGAGCAUGCUCGUUUCAGAAUCAUUUAAAUCUCACAAUCCGGAUGUGCCCUCGGGCAUAUCUUGGAGAGUGGAUGUGUGCGAUCUUGCCUUUUUCAUUUCGAUGGGAAGGGCAAUCGCUUCAAAAUGAUUGUGUGUGUACGUCGAUUUACAGCAAUCGGUUCAAACUCAGUGCAACAGAUAAUGGAACACUUUGUUUGGCUGACUGCGUAUCCGGCAUGCGCGCCCUCUUCCUGUAACAGGGCUGAAUGCAAGUCUUGCAAUCAGCUUUGAAACUUGGUCUGAAAUCGAGCAAGAAAACCCGCUGAACUUAA